rnacentral:rRNA from 1 species
GACGAACGCUGGCGGCGUGCCUAAUACAUGCAAGUCGAACGGUUUAGUUCCAAGAGGCCAGACUCUUGGAACUAAGCAGUGGCGGACGGGUGAGUAACACGUAGGCAACCUACCUGUCAAACCGGGAUAACCUCGGGAAACCGAAGCUAAACCCGGAUAAGCUCCUUUUUCGCAUGAAGGGGGAGUGAAAAGGUGCGACCUGAUGACAGAUGGGCCUGCGGCGCAUUAGCUAGUAGGUAGGGUAACGGCCUACCUAGGCGAUGAUGCGUAGCCGACCUGAGAGGGCGUACGGCCACACUGGGACUGAGAUACGGCCCAGACUCCUACGGGAGGCAGCAGUAGGGAAUCUUCGGCAAUGGGCGAAAGCCUGACCGAGCAACGCCGCGUGGGUGAGGAAGGCCUUCGGGUUGUAAAACUCUGUUGUUUGGGAAGAAGGGAAAGGGUAGGACCCUUAGGUGACGGUACCAAACGAGAAAGCCCCGGCUAACUACGUG